rnacentral:rRNA from 1 species
AUUGAACGCUGGCGGCAGGCCUAACACAUGCAAGUCGAGCGAGCGGCGGACGGGUGAGUAAUGUAUGGGGACUGCCCGAUAGAGGGGGAUAACUACUGGAAACGGUGGCUAAUACCGCAUACUAUCGGAUAACCCAUAUGGGAUUAGCUAGUAGGUGGGGUAAAGGCUAACCUCGGCGACGAUCUCUAGCUGGUCUGCGAGGAUGAUCAGCCACAAUGGGAAUGAGACACGGCCCAGACGCCUACGGAGGCAGGAGUGGGGAAUAUGGCACAAUGGGCGCAAGCCUUAGACAGCCAUGCCGCGUGUAUGAAGAAGGCCUUAGGGUUGUAAAGUACUUUCAGUGGGGAGGCGUUACCCGCAGAAGAAGCACCGGCUAACACCGUGCCAGCAGCCGCGGUAAUAC